rnacentral:ribozyme from 1 species
AAAAAGAAGAAAGAUCGGGAAGAAAACAAAACCCACACCGAAUAAUACGUUCUCACUUAAAAUGAAUACUGUUUCUUUUUUUUCUUUUUA